AAUGCCAGCUUGGACAGGUCCCCAGACAGCCGACCCGGCGGUCCAAGAGUAUGCCAAUGAGGUGAAGGACGUUGUGCAGAAGAGGAUCCAGGUUCCAAUGAUAAAAUAUACUGCGAUCCUCUACCGGAAGCAAGAACAGACUAUCAUGACGGGGAAGAUGUUUCUGAUCAAGGCGGACAUCGGAAUCCCCGCCAACUUCCUCCACCUGGAAGUGUUCCUGCCCUGGGGCUCCCCGU